rnacentral:rRNA from 1 species
GUAGGGAAUAUUGCGCAAUGGACGAAAGUCUGACGCAGCAACGCCGCGUGGGUGAAGAAGCUCCUUGGAGUGUAAAACCCUGUCAGUAGGGACGAAAAGAUCGGGUAGUAACUGCCCCGAUCCUGACGGUACCUGCAGAGGAAGUUCCGGCCAACUCCGUGCCAGCAGCCGCGGUAAUACGGGGGGAACGAGCGUUGUUCGGAUUUACUGGGCGUAAAGGGCGUGCAGGCGGAUUUUUAAGUCGGAUGUGAAAACCCCGGGCUUAACCCGGGGCCUGCAUCUGAUACUGUUAAUCUUGAGUACGGGAGAGGAAAGCGGAAUUCCAGGUGUAGCGGUGACAUGCGUAGAUAUCUGGAAGAACACCGGUGGCGAAGGCGGCUUUCUGGACCGAUACUGACGCUGAGGCGCGAAAGCCAGGGGAGCAAACAGGAUUAGAAACCCCUGUAGUCC